GACGAACGCUGGCGGCGUGCUUAACACAUGCAAGUGGUGCGACGAACCAGGCUUCGGCCUGGGGCAGAGCCGCGAACGGGUGAGUAACACGUGGGCAACCUGCCAUAAGACUGGGAUAACUCCGGGAAACCGGGGCUAAUACCGGAUAACAUUUUGAACCGCAUGGUUCGAAAUUGAAAGGCGGCUUCGGCUGUCACUUAUGGAUGGACCCGCGUCGCAUUAGCUAGUUGGUGAGGUAACGGCUCACCAAGGCAACGAUGCGUAGCCGACCGGGGAGGGUGAUAGGCCACACUGGGGCUGAGAAACGGCCGAGCCUCCUACGGGAGGCAUCAGUAGGGAAUCAUCCGCAAUGGACGAAAGUCUGACGGAGCAACGCCGCGUGAGUGAUGAAGGCUUUCGGGUCGUAAAACUCUGUUGUUAGGGAAGAACAAGUGCUAGUUGAAUAAGCUGACACCUUGACGGUACCUAACCAGAAAGCCACGGCUAACUACGUGCCAGCAGCCGCGGUAA
rnacentral:rRNA from 1 species